GAAGGGCCGUUUUUGGGCGAAAAUGUUGCCAACCCGAUCAGGUCCGAAAGGAAGCAGUCGUAACAACCAUUUUUGGGUCAUCGACGGCCCUUCACU
rnacentral:SRP_RNA from 1 species